UACGUAGGGAGCGAGCGUUGUCCGGAUUUAUUGGGCGUAAAGCGCGCGUAGGCGGUUUGGUAAGCCGGGUGUGAAACCUCCAAGCUCAACUUGGAGCGGCCACUCGGAACUGCCAUGACUUGAGUCAGGUAGGGGAACAGCGGAAUUCCAAGGUGUGAGCGGUGAAAUGACGUAGAUAUCAGGAGGAACACCUGUGGUGUAGACAGCUUACUGGACCAUUUCUGACGCUGAGACACGAAAGCGUGGGUAGCAAACAGG
rnacentral:rRNA from 1 species